rnacentral:rRNA from 1 species
CCUACGGGUGGCAGCAGUGAGGAAUAUUGGUCAAUGGACGCAAGUCUGAACCAGCCAUGCCGCGUGCAGGAAGACGGCUCUAUGAGUUGUAAACUGCUUUUGUACGAGGGUAAACGCAGAUACGCGUAUCUGUCUGAAAGUAUCGUACGAAUAAGGAUAGGCUAACUCUGCGCCAGCAGCCGCGGUAAUACGGAGGAUUCAAGCGUUAUCCGGAUUUAGUGGGUUUAAAGGGUGCGUAGGCGGUCGGAUAAGUCAGAGGUGAAAUCCCGAGGCUCAACUUCGGAAUUGCAUCUGAUACUGUUAGGCUAGAGAGUAGUAGAGGUAGGCGGAAUGUAUGGUGUAGCGGUGAAAUGCUUAGAGAUCAUACAGAACACCGAUUGCGAAGGCAGCUUACCGAGCUACUUCUGACGUUGAGGCACGAAAGCGUGGGGAGCAAACAGGAUUAGAUACCCUUGUAGUA